rnacentral:rRNA from 1 species
UAUUGCACAAUGGGGGGAACCCUGAUGCAGCGACGCCGCGUGCGGGAAGACGGUUUUCGGAUUGUAAACCUCUGUCUUUAGGGACGAAACAAAUGACGGUCCCUCAAGAGGAAGCCACGGCUAACUCCGUGCCAGCAGCUGCGGUAAUACGUAGGUGGCAAGCGUUGUCCGGAAUUACUGGGUGUAAAGGGAGCGUAGGCGGGCAUGCAAGUUGAAUGUUUAAACUAUGGGCUCAACCCAUAGUCGCGUUCAAAACUGCAUUUCUUGAGUGGAGUAGAGGCAGGCGGAAUUCCUAGUGUAGCGGUGAAAUGCGUAGAUAUUAGGAGGAACACCAGUGGCGAAGGCGGCCUGCUGGGCUCUAACUGACGCUGAGGCUCGAAAGCGUGGGUAGCAAACAGG